rnacentral:rRNA from 1 species
CGGCGCACGGGUGCGCAACGCGUAUAGAACCUACCCUUUACAGGGGGAUAGCCCGGAGAAAUCCGGAUUAAUACCCCGUGGUAAUAUAAAUUGGCAUCGAUUUAUAUUUAAAGCUUUCGGGCGGUAAAGGAUGGCUAUGCGUCCUAUUAGUUAGAUGGUGAGGUAACGGCUCACCAUGACUAUGAUAGGUAGGGGCCCUGAGAGGGGGAUCCCCCACACUGGUACUGAGACACGGACCAGACUCCUACGGGAGGCAGCAGUGAGGAAUAUUGGACAAUGGGCGGAAGCCUAAUCCAGCCAUGCCGCGUGCAGGAAGACGGCCCUACGGGUUGUAAACUGCUUUUAUACGGGAAGAAUAAUCACGACGAGUCGUGGGAUGACGGUACCGUAAGAAUAAGGACCGGCUAACUCCGUGCCAGCAGCCGCGGUAAUACGGAGGGUCCGAGCGUUAUCCGGAAUUAUUGGGUUUAAAGGGUCCGCAGGCGGGCUUAUAAGUCAGGGGUGAAAUGGUGCGGCUCAACCGUAGCACUGCCCUUGAUACUGUUAGUCUUGAGUUAUGGUGGAGUGGCCGGAAUAUGUAGUGUAGCGGUGAAAUGCAUAGAUAUUACAUAGAACACCGAUCGCGAAGGCAGGUCACUAACCAUAUACUGACGCUGAUGGACGAAAGCGUGGGGAGCGAACAGGAUUAGAUACCCUGGUAGUCCACGCCGUAAACGAUGGAUACUAGCUGUCGGGACUUCGGUCUCGGCGGCCAAGCGAAAGUGAUAAGUAUCCCACCUGGGGAGUACGUUCGCA